UGUUUCUUAUCUAUGGCCUAGAAAGGCACACCUGUAAUCAGUAUUUCCUCUUUCUAAAUGUGUCAGUCUAUUUAUUAUAAUUGUUAUUACUGUUGAAUCUGAUUUAAACCUAAAGUUCCCUUGAGGCCAGUAGGCUACAUUUGAAGCUUACAAAUAAGUUAUUGUAAAAUGGAUGUAAUUAUAGUAAAAGUAACCACCACAUUGAAUGAGGCUGUUAGUAUACUAGACAACAAAAUGUAUUCAUGGUGUUACCAUGGAGAGAAUGGAAACAUUUUGGACUCAUUUUAAAGAAGGCACCUUUAUUCUAAGUGUGCCUUUAAAUGAGUAACUUGAAACAAAUGACUUGGCUUUUUACAAAAUUAGAACAAACUGAAUAUACAUCUCUUUAAAGCUGGGCUAUUACAGGGACAUAACAGUAAAUGCUAAUGUACAUACUGAUGGUUGGCACAUGCAAAUGAGCAUGCUGAUCACUAGUUCACAUCACGAUUCAUUAUGGCACACAACUGCCAGAAAUCAAAGUUAAGCAAAAAGCAGCUACCAACUGCAUAGUCUUCCCUCCUUAUGGAGCCAUUUUGCCCCACAAUCCCCUUUGUGAUUAGCAAAAAGCUUGGAAAUAGAGGCUAAAAUAAACAAUAAGAGGACUAAUGAAUUACUGGCUAAUUUUAAAAUGGCACAGAACCUUGGAGAGGGGAGGAAGCACCAGCUGAGAUGAGUACAUAUUUCCCUAGAGCAUUUCACAUGAUGCAUUGGUGAAUGACUGCCUCUGAGAAAGCACUCUGAUCUUGGAAGCUGAGCGACACAAAUACUUGGCGUCGAAGAAGUUGGCAUGGCAACCCUGCAUUUGCAAUGCUCUACCUACAGAACAACCUAAUGGAGAAAAUGAGGAGAAAAGCAGGUCAUCGUGAUGUGUAUGAGUUUUGGAAAACACUACCAUUAGAUACGAGAAGCCAGUUAAAGAGUUUUAGGAAGAGACGCAGACAUUCAAGAAAGUCAAACAAUUUCAAGAAAAAGGAAAGAUGUCCCUUGGUGAUGGCUAAAGGAGGCCUACACUUCCCCUCACAAACUUCCCACUGAUUCUCAAGAAGGACAAGGACAAAGACAUUCUACUGGCCACUGUGCCAAAGUGGGCCAAGGUGAGUUCCACCCACUUUGACAGGAUAUCAAUCCUAAGAACUUUCAAAGAAUCCCAUUCCAAAGCAGCUAAUUCUAUAUUAAUCUCAGAGACAUAGUACUUGCAUCUACAUUGUUGGGUUUAGGACACUAUAUUACAUGUUAUCUGUUUACAUGUCGUGGUAGAUAGAAUAAUGGCCUCCCAAAGAUGUUCACAUCCUCAUCCCUGGACCCUGUGAAUAUGUUACCUAAUAUAAGGAAAGAGAUUUUACAGAUGUGAAUAAAUAAGGACCAUGAGAUGGUGAGAUUAGCCUGGAUUAUCUGGGUGAGCCCAAUGUGAUCACAAGGAUACUUAUAUGGAGAAGGGGGAGGCAGAUUAGUCAAAGAAGGAAACGUGACAAAGAAACAAGAUUGGAAUGAUGCAACGUGAGAAAAACUCAACCGGCUAUUUCCGGCUUUAAAGAUGCAAAAGAGUCAUGAGCCAAGGAAUAUAGAAGCUUCUAGAACCUGGAAAAAGUAAGAAAAUCGAUCUCCCCUGGGCUUCCUGCUAAUGGCUUAUUGCAUCUCAUUGAGGAGUAUUUUGGA